rnacentral:lncRNA from 1 species
CAGGAGAUGUUCCUCUGUGAUUUUGACCAUUGAUUUAUUCGUAUGAUCCUCCAACACUGUGGCACUCAAAAGAGAUCAAGUUGGGUGAUUGACAAGAGAUUUUGGAAUAUAAGCAAGUGACAUGAGGCCCUUUAGGGUCUAUUACAAGAUCAGGCUCUCUCCAACUAAUUUUUCUAUUCAUUAGAACCGAUAAACUUGUAUUUUGAGCAAAGAAGGAGAAAAGAAGUAAAAGAGGGAUUGAAAGGUGAAAUCGGCAAAUCUGCCUGUGUAGAUCAGUCAACUUCGACAGAUCACUGAGACCAGCUCACAACGAUCCAGAGGAUGAUCUUUAUAUUGAUGGAAAGCCUUGGAUGUCUAGUUUCCAGAUCUUUUUAUAGCUCAUCAAUAUAAUUUUUCUAGAAGAAGUUAUGGCUGAUUUAGUACAAGAAAGUCAGACUGCACGUGAAUCUGAGGUUGGACAAAAAUUUAUGUUUCAAAGCCCAAAUCACACCGAGAAGCCCGAUGACGAGUUUGUGCUUCAUAUUUCAGCUUAAUAUGGACAAAUGACGUGAUGUGAAUGGUUGGAAUACGUCAUCAAGUUCAAGAGCCAAUAGCACGUGAACCCUAAUUCUUUUA